GAUGGCUGAAGAGGCAAUCAAAUCCUUCCCGGCGAUAACUUCAUUCACGAUGAAGAAUACACCAAGGGCUAUGAGUCGUCUCCGUGCAGAAAUGGCAGCGGAAUUACUGUCCUGAGAGAGACGUGCCAAGACAUAUUUGUGCCAAGGGACACAAAUAUCAACGCUGUUGUAAUUGACUGGACCCAAUGUGACUCAUGCAGAAGAUGGUUCCACAAUUUCUGCAUUCCUGCAACCAGAAUGGUACAUCUUCCCGAAGAAUUGUUUAAAU